rnacentral:rRNA from 1 species
GACGAACGCUGGCGGCGUGCUUAACACAUGCAAGUCGAACGAAGAGGCGAACGGGUGAGUAACGCGUAAUCAACCUGCCCUUCAGCGGGGGAUAACAGUUGGAAACGACUGCUAAUACCGCAUACUGAGGGAGGGGAUUGCGUCUGAUUAGCUAGUUGGGGGGGUAACGGCCCACCAAGGCGAUGAUCAGUAGCCGGUCGUAGAGGAUGAACGGGCAAAUGUGGACGGGGACACGGCCCAGACUCCUACGGGAGGCAGCAGUGGGGAAUCUUCCGCAAUGGACGAAAGUCUGACGGAGCAACGCCGCGUGAGUGAUGACGGCCUUCGGGUUGUAAAGCUCUGUUAAUCGGGACGCGGUACCGGAAUAGAAAGCCACGGCUAACUACGUGCCAGCAGCCGCGGUAAUAC